rnacentral:rRNA from 1 species
GACGAACGCUGGCGGCGUGCUUAACACAUGCAAGUCGAACGAUGAAGCCGGAGCUUGCUCCGGUGGAUUAGUGGCGAACGGGUGAGUAACACGUGAGCAAUCUGCCCUUGACUCUGGGAUAACUGCGGGAAACUGUAGCUAAUACCGGAUACGAGACCUGAAGGCAUCUUCGGGGCUGGAAAGAAAUUCGGUCAAGGGUGAGCUCGCGGCCGAUCAGCUUGUUGGUGAGGUAAUGGCUCACCAAGGCGACGACGGGUAGCCGGCCUGAGAGGGUGACCGGCCACACUGGGACUGAGACACGGCCCAGACUCCUACGGGAGGCAGCAGUGGGGAAUAUUGCACAAUGGGCGAAAGCCUGAUGCAGCAACGCCGCGUGAGGGAUGACGGCCUUCGGGUUGUAAACCUCUUUCAGCUAUGACGAAGCGCAAGUGACGGUAGUAGCAGAAGAAGGACCGGCCAACUACGUGCCAGCCGCCGCCGUAAUAC